GCCCGAAUGGGACACGCCUCUUCCGUUCGCGGAACAGGCGUGCUGCCUCCGGAUAGGGAAAGCGCGACCUCUUCCGCGUCCCUCAAACUCGGGGCGGGGCAAAGCGGGUUAUUGCAUCCAGUUCUGUGUUGGAAAGAUUUGUAAUGCUUGACCUUCCGUCGUCUUCUUGACGGACGCCAUCUCCUGCUUUGAAAACUCGGACUGAACUGACCACGGCUUGUCUUCCCCCCUUCUUGGACUUGGAAAACUACAAACGUCUGCUUCUGGCUUUGAUCUACGGAACGGAACUGGUCUACUCUACUGCUACAAUCCCUGGCUGAUCUGUUCGUGUUGGAAAUCCUGUCUGCUGUGUGUGUGGGAGCGACGCAAGUUACUCUAAGCACAGUGUUGGCAGCAGAGAGGAAUCUGCUGCCAAUUAGUUGCAUUCUUUGUAUCUUUUGUUCCUUGGCUUUCGUUUUGUUUAUAUUCAGGCUGAAGCAAGCAGUUUGUUUUUUACCCGGAUUAAACUCCGGUUUAAUCCGGUUUAUCUUUUGAACAUUUAUUUUGUCCUUUUUUUGCUCCUAAAGGCAAAUACUGCCUGGCCCUUGUGUUUUACGGGCAUGUUUUGAGUUCUGUAAUCUAAUAAACUCUGUUACUUUGAA